AGAUUGAACGCUGGCGGCAGGCCUAACACAUGCAAGUCGAGCGGUAGAGAGGUGCUUGCACCUCUUGAGAGCGGCGGACAGGUGAGUAAUGCCUAGGAAUCUGCCUAGUGGUGGGGGAUAACGUUCGGAAACGGACGCUAAUACCGCAUACGUCCUACGGGAGAAAGCGGGGGACCUUCGGGCCUCGCGCCAUUAGAUGAGCCUAGGUCGGAUUAGCUAGUUGGUGAGGUAAUGGCUCACCAAGGCGACGAUCCGUAACUGGUCUGAGAGGAUGAUCAGUCACACUGGAACUGAGACACGGUCCAGACUCCUACGGGAGGCAGCAGUGGGGAAUAUUGGACAAUGGGCGAAAGCCUGAUCCAGCCAUGCCGCGUGUGUGAAAGAAGGUCUUCGGAUUGUAAAGCACUUUAAAGUUGGAGAAGGUUGUAACUUAAUACGUUGCAACUUUGACGUUACGACAGAACUAAGCAACCGCUAACUUCGUGCCAGCAGCCGACGG
rnacentral:rRNA from 1 species